rnacentral:rRNA from 1 species
AUGAACGCUGGCGGCGUGCCUAAUACAUGCAAGUCGAGCGAACGGACGAGAAGCUUGCUUCUCUGAUGUUAGCGGCGGACGGGUGAGUAACACGUGGAUAACCUACCUAUAAGACUGGGAUAACUUCGGGAAACCGGAGCUAAUACCGGAUAAUAUUUUGAACCGCAUGGUUCAAAAGUGAAAGACGGUCUUGCUGUCACUUAUAGAUGGAUCCGCGCUGCAUUAGAUAGUUGGUAAGGUAACGGCUUACCAAGGCAACGAUGCAUAGCCGACCUGAGAGGGUGAUCGGCCACACUGGAACUGAGACACGGUCCAGACUCCUACGGGAGGCAGCAGUAGGGAAUCUUCCGCAAUGGGCGAAAGCCUGACGGAGCAACGCCGCGUGAGUGAUGAAGGUCUUCGGAUCGUAAAACUCUGUUAUUAGGGAAGAACAUAUGUGUAAGUAACUGUGCACAUCUUGACGGUACCUAAUCAGAAAGCCACGGCUAACUACGUG